AUUGAACGCUGGCGGCAGGCCUAACACAUGCAAGUCGAGCGGAGCGGCGGACGGGUGAGGAAUGCCUAGGAAUCUGCAUGUUAGUGGUGGAUAACGUCCGGAAACGGGCGCUGAUACCACAUACUCUCAGAUGAGCCUCUGUCGGAUUAGCGAGUUGGUGGGGUAAAGGCCUACCAAGGCGACGAUCCGUAACGGGUCUGAGAGGAUGAUAAGCCACACUGGAACUGAGACACGGUCCAGACUCCUACGGGAGGCAGCAGUGGGGAAUAUUGGAACAUGGGCGAAAGCCUGAUGCAGCCAUGCCGCGUGUGUGAAGAAGGUCUUCGGAUUGUAAAGCACUUUAAGUUGGGAGGCGUUACCAACAGAAGAAGCACCGGCUAACUUCGUGCCAGCAGCCGCGGUAAUAC
rnacentral:rRNA from 1 species